AUUGAACGCUGGCGGCAGGCCUAACACAUGCAAGUCGAACGAGUGGCGGACGGGUGAGUAAUGUGUGGGAAACUUCCUGUUGGAGGGGGAUAACUACUGGAAACGGUAGCUAAUACCGCAUUCCAUCAGAUGUGCCCAGCUGGGAUUAGCUUGUUGGUGGGGUAACGGCUCACCACGGCGAUGAUCCCUAGCUGGCCGGAGAGGUUGACCACCCAAUCUGGAACGGGGACACGGUCCAGACUCCUACGGGAGGCAGAAGUGGGGAAUAUUGGACAAUGGGCACAAGCUUGAUGCAGCAAUGCCGCGGGUAUGAAGAAGGCCUUCGGGUUGUAAAGUACUUUAAGCGGGGAGGCGGUACCCGAAGAAGAAGCACCGGCUAACUCCGUGCCAGCAGCCGCGGUAAUUC
rnacentral:rRNA from 1 species